ensembl:snRNA U2 U2 spliceosomal RNA
AUCGCUUCUCGGCCUUUUGGCUAAGAUCAAGUGUAGUUCUUUCAUUUUAGAAGGAAUGCUGAAACGACAGUGACCAGUAAAAGAAAAGGAAAAUAACAGUUUUUGAGUUAUUCCUCUGAAUCAGACAUUAUGCUAAAUGUUGAGGAAAAAUCCUCUUACAUCCUUCAAAUAAGCAGGUUUAAUGAUGCUUGUAAUA